GAAACACAGACGAGCCAAAAACAAAUACAACCAGCGGAUAUCAAAUAGAUUAAACAAAUAUACUUCGUACCACAAAUCAAAGCCCCAAUUGAUUAAUAACAGGAAAAAUGUAAUGGAUGAGAUACGACAUCGGUAUUUAUAACAAUAUAUAUUUUCUUUUGCAACGUUCAAACGGUACGUUAACCUACUAAUUGAAGAGUUUUCAGACACAAUUUUUGUUCGGAACAGAUUUUAGAAUAAUAAAACUAAAAAAUAAUAAUUACCCAUUCUACUUUACGUCUCGCGUCUUUGGUACUCUCAGCCCAAAUAGGUUAAUUGCGUUUUGUACUAAUAAACCUAAUAAACUCCAGUAUGUCAUAAUUGACAAACCUCACUAGCAAACUAGGAGUACAAUAUUCAAUUUAUCAAUAAUUUAAUUAUCAGACUGUCAUAGUCACCGACAAUUUGGUUUUCGUAAAAUUUAACGUGUGAAUGAAGAGAUAAUUGAAAUAAAGCGAAACUUUAAAACUAGGUUUCGUAAGUUAUUUGUCUAUUACAAAUACGGAGAUAUUAAAUUAGAAAAAUUCGAAUGUUAACGUGAAAUUGAUGAAUUAUUAUAUUUGUAAAAGUUGCAGAACCAGGAGAUGUGGAUAUCUCGAAGACGGCGGGCACUCGUGCGGGGAUUAGUCUGGUCGGCUCUCCGCCACCGCCGCCCACCGGCCCCGCCAUCACCUCGACCUUCCACGGGGAACCUGAAACAAUGACAUCAUGUCAAACUAAAGCCGCAGGGUCUUGCGUAAUAAUUGUAAUCUUGGUCAUUACCCAAAAGAAAUGAGCAUAUUCAAACUUAUAAAUAUAUUUCUAAUUCCUGUAGAUAAUUUAAUGCGUUUUUACCGAACCGGUUUUAGAUAGUUCCGGAAGCCUGUCACAAUGUGAAUGUCUCCAUCCACCUCGAAACAAAGCUAAUAAAAAUAAAAAGUUUUUAACUUCCAAGAAAUUACUCAAUCUGAUUUAAUAUUAUUCAAAUCACGUAAUCGUAAGCUUCUAAUUAAAUAGUUCGAUUGACUCUUCCGGUAAAAUUUUUGACUCGCAUUACUUAUUAACAACCAAUUUCAUAAUCACGUUGAUCGGUAACACCUUCUAAAGUGAAAUCUUUUAUUAUAAUGAACGGUUAAAAAAUAAUUUAUGCUAAUAAAAAUAAAUUGCCAUUUGUGUGGCUGAGUAUCAGUCGAGAAUGCAUCGAUCGAUUAGGCUGAUUUAUUUUUGAUUGUAUUCGAAAAUUUUAGAAAAAAGGUUUACUAAAAUCUUUAAAAACUUUUUUUGGUAAACGCGCGUGAAUUUUCGUUCAAUCAGUGAUAGAAGACAAUGUAGAUAGUAAGCGUACCUGUGUUUCACGAGAAUACAACAAAUACAUGGUUUGAAAUGGCGGCUGUAAUUUUAGAUCUUUAAGUUUCCUAAAAAUUAUAAUGACAAUAAUAUAAUUUGAAGUACAUUUACGGGUACUCAUAUAGUUUACCAACUUAUGGUUAAAACUAACCACUAAAUUACCAGCAAGAGCGAAAAUAAUUAGAAGACUUGACAUUUUGGGGUGGACUAUGUGUAUUUUUAAAGGAGAGAAAAAAAAGGGAAUUCGACAAAAAAGGAGAAGGUUCAUAAUUCAACUUUAUUUUUUAUGUAAGUAUGUUACCGCAGAUUUAUUUUCUAGGUUAUCCGAUUUUGAUAAUUCUUAUUUCGUACAUUAAUUUGAAAGCUUGUGCUUCUCGUUUGGUACUAAUUAAAUUUUAUCAAGAUCUGACGAGUAGUUUUUUGGUGAUCUUUAAGAUAGUUAAUAGUGCUAUUAAAUUUAAUUCGACAACUCAAAUUGGUGAUUUUUAUGAAAGAUACUUCAGUGUGCAAUGUUGUUCUCGUAGAAGUUAUUUCCAGCGCUCAUAGUACAAAAGAAAAUUUAAAUUUGGGGCCAGUGAAUGUUGAACGUCUAUGUCAUUGUCAAAUCAAUUUUAUGUUUAGUCGUUUGUGACCAUGAGAGGUGUACAUUAUUCAAAACGUCAGAUUAAGUAUUGAAUGUAAUUCGAAUUUAUUUUAGAUACAAAGAUAAUCGUUGAAGAAAUUACUUUUAACUUAGAUAAAUAAAGUAUGUGACGGUUUGGAUAUAUCCAUUGAAAA